AUCGUUCGAUUCCUUUAAGGUACGCGACCUGGAACUGGAGUGGUAGACAGUACCGCAGCUGGAGCACACAGUCUGUGGCGGGUGGUUGUUGCAGAGGAGGCACGUGCUGCUGGAGCGGCGUGACGUGGUGAGCCAGUGGAGACACGUGCUAGCGGUAGCGGCUAACAACGGGGAGUGUCGCACUGUAACCAGGACGCUAUAGGUCCUCUAUCUCGAACGGGGCCGUGGGCACGCCGGUGCGGCUUUAGACGUGACGGGGCCGCGAACGCGGCGGUGCAGGGGACUUGGUAGGUGGAGCGCUGUGGCGGGCGGGGACGAUGGGUACACUGCGACGACGAGGGAGGACGGGGUUCUCGCGUGUAGAGGUUCGCCGGAAACGCCCUCCCUGCUGCGUGGUCCGCGUAGCUCGGCCGCGUAGGGCCGUAGCGGAGGCAAGAAGCGAGGCGGAGUAGCUGCGGCCACGUCCGGAUAUAGGGUGAGGAGGGGCAUCGAAGUCUCUAGAAUCUAUCUUUUUCAUAUACCACCGCAACACGGCUGACGGACGAGAAGAGAAAGGACCGCAUUCCCUGGAGUUCUAGACCGUGGCCCUCGAAAGAAGCAGGUGUAGGCAUGAAACACAUACCCUUUCGUUAGAAGGCCCAUCGUCGUCAACCUGAAGUAAACACUAAUUCCUACUAUCGAUAGCUUCACACUAACGAAACUAAUCUCUACCGUGACUAUAUUGUGCUCUCUAAUAAAGACAUUGUGAAACAGAACCCAGAUGUGAACGAUUGUCUCAACGUCUGUUUUGUUUCGUUGCUCGGAAACAUGACUUACAUUUGUAUGAGACGUCUAGUUGUGGGUAGAAAAUUACACUCUUAAACGCCGAAUGUAACGAUUAUAAACUAGGAGCUAUCGUUACGAGAAAAGGAAGGUACAACCAGUACGGUUUUUUCGUAACUCCCGCUCAGACGUGGUUAGGUGGUACGAACUCAGACGUGGUUAGGUAGUACGAACUCAGUCCCCCUAGUGGAUGUCACGCUACCGGUUUGGAUAGAACGUCCCCUUAGUACAUGGCCGUAUUAUCUAAUAGGGUCUACUAUAAAGUAACUGUUCGGUGUAUAUUUAACUUCAGUUUAAUCCGUAUAUGAUACAACGUGUCCAAUUAGAAUAGAGUCACAAGGGACCUAUAAAGAAAAAACAUCGGAGAUAACGUCACACGUGGCGACGUUCUUACUUUAAUUAAAUAAGAUAUAUUUACGAUAUUAUUCAUAAAGUCUUGUAAAAAAGACGACAACCUAAAUUAUAAAAUAAGGUAAAGGCUACCUAUUUUUACAAACUCCGAUGAAGGUAUAAAUAGGGAACAAAGAAUGCCAGAUCGCACAAUCUUUUAAAAAGAAAGUCUAAACGGACAGGACAAACACGUGGUCCAUGUUCCAGAGCGGAACAACUUCCGAUCAAGGCCAAGAAAAUAAAAGUAAAAGUAAAACAAUUACAUGUAAAAGAUGGAUUAUUCCUGAACUCCACAGAGCACCUAACAUCGCGUACCCCUCGGAGUGCUAACAACACCAAUAAAAAAUGUGUUUCAGUAACAUCGUGUUCAACAUACAUGAGGGAGGCAAAGAAAAAUGAGGCGUAUAAUCUAAACCAGUUUCAGUUUAAUGUGUUUCAAACUGGUUUAAAUAUAUUUUUAUAUAUUUGUAGAUGUUAUGAUUUUGAUAUAUUAUACUUUUAUACAAAUUACUACGUAGACUAUUAUAACUAAAGUAUAACACUUACAAAUAUAAAAAAUUAUAUUUUAGUCAGUUUGAGAUGUUUCGAACUGAAACCGGUUUGGAAUAUACGCCUGAUUUUUCCUUACCUCCCUCAUAUCGAGCACUAUGUACCACUACGUAGAAAGGUUCCAAUUUACACGAAGAGUAAAUAACUACGAAACUGCCGACAGAUUAAAUCACAAAAUGUGACUUCCACGUAUUGUAAUUUAUUCUAUACUAAUCCGAAUUCUAUAUUCUUCUUAUUACUAAUAUAUGCUUUGAAUUUAUGUGUACCAAAUAGCGAAAAUGUUUCUUACCUCAAUACUCUUACCCAGUUUAUACGGGACGCCCUGCUUUAACUGAUGCGUAAAAGAUAUACAAGUCCCAAAUCUUCAGGUAACACACACGUACAAACUAUGCUCUAUACAACGAGUAUACUUUUCUUGAUAUAGAGGUUACGAUAUAAAUCAAAUUUAAUUCUAAACUCGAUGUAAUAACGUGAGUAAGUAAAAUAACUGUAUUAAUACCGAAUUAAUCCUACUGACUCUUAACAAAAAGAUACUAAUAUGCACACAACGUGUACGUAUGAAUGAUCAUAACUUUUUUUUAUCAACUCACGCCCACCCUCUCUCUCUCAAGUCAAUCCUUUCUUUAUUUUAUUUUUUCUUUUCUGUACUAACCAAACCGGCCAAACCUAACCAAUUUUCUCACGUCUAGAUAAAACUUCAAACCUUCCAUAGGUGUCUCUUUUUUUCCGUUUAGAUUAGGCGGGUUUUUUUCUCUCCUUCUUAAUGUUCUUUCUCAUCUCCCUCUUAUUCCUUCCUCUAACCUUGUUCCCUUUCACCCGCACCCAAAAAGGAUCCAGGAGUGCAACCUCUAUUUUUCAGUCAACCAGUUAAGCCAACACAAAGGAUUCUUUUUUUAUUGUUGGGUACGUCAAAAAAAACCUCUCUCUCUUUCCCUUUUUUCCAAGUGCACGUUCGUAACCCUCAUCAUCCGUGCAAACCUAAUAUUAUUGUUUUUCCCACCAACACACGUCGUGUUGUGUAUCCAGAUGUCCUAUCGUUCCUUGUUUUUCUCUCAUGUGGAAUAGAUGACAAACAGAAAUAGUAACGACAAAGGUGAGUUGGAUAAGUCAUGUGGGUAAAAAUAACGUAGGAAGAACACGUAGGUGUAUGCAGGCGUUCCAACAAUGUACUUAGGGGGACACAGAAUCCGAGCACAGAGAUCAUGUGAAAUCGGACUCAGGUCGUAAGCUGGUGAAACUUACUUAAAAGUCGAACGUAAUUAAUUGCACCAACAUCGUAAAAAAGGUAUAUAUUUCGGUUGGGUCGAGGUGUAUAAAAAUGUGACACAUAUGUAUGCAGUGGAUCGUUAGCAAAAUGGUUGAAAACCUCAAUAAACUGUGAUGACCAACGGCUGGUGGAGGACGACGUACCAUUCUUGAACAUUCUGAAACUAUAAACGAUAUGAUACUCGCAAAAUGGUGGUGUAGGAUCAUCAAGUAGCCUUGUAAGAAAAACCUAAAACAAAGAACAAAGACGAUUAGUACUGUUCUAGGUCUCAGUUAAGCACCCGAAGCAGUUAGCACCCUCUACACGGUGGUGGAAGGUUUUAUCUUGGUGGCAGUGUUCGCCACGUGUGUGUAGUCUUACGCGUGUUAGUCCAACAACAAAAGUAUGGUGGUAAAUCACCAGCAAAAUCUGGACGAAAUAUAUAACUUACCCUCAAGCUGUAUUUAUUAUAUAAGCGAAGGGUAUCAAAAUGACUUGCAUUUUUUCGAUUCCGGCACCAACCAAGUAACUAACCAAUACGAAGUCAAACCACCGCGCUUAUAACAGCCAAUGUGGGACUAAUAUAUGGAUGAUGAACCCUACUAAACUUUGAACGGUACUCUGUAUGUAAACCGGGGAGAAUAAUAUGAGCACUGUACUAAUUUUUAAACGUUGUCGAUUUUGUUCCAUCACUGUGGCAUUGCUUUACUAAAUGUUUGAUAGAACAACGUAAGGAGAAAUCUUCUUUCAUUUCUUCUAAACUACCUAUCUAAAACCCCUCCUAAUUAGGCACUAUAAGUCCUCCAUAAUUAAGUACCGCCCAGAAUAGGAUACCUGGAAGACAAAACGGAACGAACGUUUCGACUUGUCUUUUAUUAUACCGCACAACAGGUAUUCCUGUUACAACAAGGAAGUUGAUGAUCCACAUGAUACUGUUGGUGUAGGCAACAACACUCCUGAUGUAUUGGAGGUUAUACACUGUGUAGUGGAAGCUCUCAUGAACGUAGUAGGUUCAACUAGUAUUCUCCAUUACUGUUUCUCUGGCUAAAAGGUGGAGGUACUCAUACUACUUACGGAACAGUUAAAUUUACUUGGUACGCUACUCGAUGGGUAAUGAAACUAGUGUGCUCAAUAAAAUCUCCUGAUACAACUACUAAAAUGAAACGGUACACUAGUUUGUUAAAACUCACUUACUUAACUUAAUUGAUAACUACGUUUUCCUAGUACACUUAGUCCCUUAUUUAGUCUAACCCUAGUUUAUGCAAACUUUUAUUAACAUGGUUACAAAUUAGUAAAACUAUACUGGAGAUUAGAACCACCACCAAGUAGUUACAACCCUACCAAAUUACUAUUCGUAACAGUUAGGAAACUAUACUUAUUCUCGCAGUGAAUAUACCCGUUUGAUUCAACGUUAUAAAAGUACGGAAACUGAACAACACUAUUAUAUAACCGAAGUAUAAAAUACUAAAAAGUUUCCACGAGAACAUAUUAAUACAGUGUACACGGUGUUAACUCUAGUCAUUUUUAACUACUGUAUAUGUAUAUGUUACACAUGUGAAACAGAGAAAACAAUCGGUGUAAAGCCUAAUUGGUCGCGACUCCUGUCGAAAAAAGUUCUUCCCCUCCUACUACUCCUGUACCGAUGGUAUCAAUGUGUGUAUAGGGGACGACAAAAUGGAAAACCUUGUUAACGAUCUCGAGUGUAUCUGGUCAAUUUAAUAGUCCAUGAAAGCAAAGAACCAUUACAAAGAUCACAAGUACUCUUAUACUACGACGGACUGUAUGUAUGUAAACACAACGGUCGUUAACUUCCCGGAUCGUGCUUCUACUUCCUACUUUUAACCUCGUACUAGUUCGUACCUCCACUUGCACACACGCUUCUCUUGUUCUUAUCUUCAAGAUCACCUAUAAAAGUCUGAAACUUCGGUGGUACUACUGUAUGAUCUGCUACCUGUUUUAUAUGUUCUACCGGAAAGUAUUUAAAACAGGUAUCGAAUAAUAACCACAACGCGGUGGAAUAAAACCCGGUUCGGGUACAUUAGAUAAAAAUCUUAGUCAUAACAUACCCCUUUGCUUAAUCCUCCACAAAAUCAGGGUGGAACGGUUCCCACCUAUUUUAGGGGAGAGAAAGGGGAUAUUUAUGUCGGGAAUUCCGUAGCAAAUCUGAACCCAAAAUGACUCAAUUUUCAAUCGGUAGCGGCGUUGAAGCACAUGAAGCAAACACAGGUUGCUGGUCUGGUUCUGGCGAAUACUUUCGGG
rnacentral:rRNA from 1 species